rnacentral:rRNA from 1 species
CAGCCGCCGCGGUAAUACGAAGGGUGCAAGCGUUAAUCGGAAUUACUGGGCGUAAAGCGUGCGUAGGCGGUGAGUUAAGUCUGCUGUGAAAUCCCCGGGCUCAACCUGGGAAUGGCAGUGGAUACUGGCUCGCUAGAGUGUGUCAGAGGAUGGUGGAAUUCCCGGUGUAGCGGUGAAAUGCGUAGAGAUCGGGAGGAACAUCAGUGGCGAAGGCGGCCAUCUGGGACAACACUGACGCUGAGGCACGAAAGCGUGGGGAGCAAACAGGAUUAGAUACCCCUGUAGUCCCUGUCUCUUUACA